rnacentral:rRNA from 1 species
AACGAACGCUGGCGGCAGGCUUAACACAUGCAAGUCGAACGCCCCGCAAGGGGAGUGGCAGACGGGUGAGUAACGCGUGGGAAUCUACCCAGAUCUUCGGAACAACUGAGGGAAACUUCAGCUAAUACCGGAUACGCCCUACGGGGGAAAGAUUUAUCGGAUUUGGAUGAGCCCGCGUUGGAUUAGCUAGUUGGUGGGGUAAUGGCCUACCAAGGCGACGAUCCAUAGCUGGUCUGAGAGGAUGAUCAGCCACACUGGGACUGAGACACGGCCCAGACUCCUACGGGAGGCAGCAGUGGGGAAUAUUGGACAAUGGGCGAAAGCCUGAUCCAGCCAUGCCGCGUGAGUGAUGAAGGCCUUAGGGUUGUAAAGCUCUUUCAGUAGGGAAGAUAAUGACGGUGCCUACAGAAGAAGCCCCGGCUAACUUCGUGCCAGCCGCCGCGGUAAAAC